ensembl:lncRNA
CGCCCGCUUUACGUUAGUCCGGGAACCAUGGCAAUGACAGUUGGUUAGCUAGCGUGUCGCCGCUUAGAAAAGGUCUGACUGCACGAACGUUCACUGUUGCAGUGCUGCCUUUGGGAGCAUGUGGUCCUUGAAACACUUCUCUAGUCCAGCAAUAUGAGUGUGCCAGAGGUCGUCACGCUGGACGGGAGGCUGUGGUGGUCCACGAUAACGAAGAAGCAGGUGUCCCUUCCGGUGAUGUGGAACUGACCUUGGACUUGGACCUGGUGCCAGGAAGGAUGGUCGUCACAGAGGCAGUAAGACCUUCCCUCCGCUUGGAUAUAGAAAUCAUUCGACCUCCUCUUCAAUGGUCAGGUCCCUUUUAGGCACCAUAGGAACACUUGACCUCCACCACCAGACCAUCCGGUGAGGCACCCAGGAUCCCAGACCAUCUGGUGAGGGGCACCCAGGAUCCCAGACCAUCCGGUGAGGCACCCAGGAUC